UCCGGUUUAACACCGGCAGUCUCGUUAGAGUGCCCGGCCGAACCGCUGGCAACUAACGACAAUGGUUGCGCUCGUUGCGGGACUUAACCCAACAUCUCACGACACGAGCUGACGACAACCAUGCACCACCUGUCACCACUGUCCCCGAAGGGAAAGGCGUAUCUCUACACCGGUCAGUGGGAUGUCAAGACCUGGUAAGGUUCUUCGCGUUGCUUCGAAUUAAUCCACAUGCUCCGCCGCUUGUGCGGGCCCCCGUCAAUUCCUUUGAGUUUUAAGCUUGCGCUCGUAGUUCCCAGGCGGGCCACUUCCCGCGUUAGCUAAGGCCCCCAGCGACGGAGAAUCCGCCACCAAAGGCCGAGUGGCCAUCGUUUACGGCGUGGACUAC
rnacentral:misc_RNA from 1 species